GAUGAAGAACGCAGCGAAAUGCGAUAAGUAAUGUGAAUUGCAGAAUUCAGUGAAUCAUCGAAUCUUUGAACGCACAUUGCGCCCGCCAGUAUUCUGGCGUGCAUGCCUGUUCGAGCGUCAUUUCAACCAUCAAGCCCCCGGCUUGUGUUGGGGACCUGCGGCUGCCGCAGGCCCUGAAAACCAGUGGCGGGCUCGCUAGUCACUCCGAGCGUAGUAAUACAUCUCGCUCAGGGCGUGCUGCGGGUUCCGGCCGUUAAAAAGCCUUAUUUACCCAAGGUUGACCUCGGAUCAGGUAGGAAGACCCGCUGAACUUAAGCAUAUCAAUAAGCGGAGGA
rnacentral:misc_RNA from 1 species